GGCAAGAGGAAAAACCC
rnacentral:misc_RNA from 1 species